UUCAGGGCGGGGUGUGAUUCCCCACCGGUGGUAAUGCGGUUUAUCCGACAAGCCCACGAGCUUUACAGCAUGAUUUGGUGAGAUUCCAAAGCCGACGGUAUAGUCCGGACGGAAGAA
rnacentral:ncRNA from 1 species